UGGCUCAGAUUGAACGCUGGCGGCAGGCCUAACACAUGCAAGUCGAGCGGUAGAGAGAAGCUUGCUUCUCUUGAGAGCGGCGGACGGGUGAGUAAUACCUGGGAAUCUGCCUGAUAGUGGGGGAUAACGUCCGGAAACGGGCGCUAAUACCGCGUACGUCCUACGGGAGAAAGCAGGGGAUCUUCGGACCUUGCGCUAUCAGAUGAGCCCAGGUCGGAUUAGCUAGUAGGUGUGGUAAUGGCUCACCUAGGCAACGAUCCGUAACUGGUCUGAGAGGAUGAUCAGUCACACUGGAACUGAGACACGGUCCAGACUCCUACGGGAGGCAGCAGUGGGGAAUAUUGGACAAUGGGCGCAAGCCUGAUCCAGCCAUGCCGCGUGUGUGAAGAAGGUCUUCGGAUUGUAAAGCACUUUAAGUUGGGAGGAAGGGUUGUUGCUUAAUACGUAGCAACUUUGACGUUACCGACAGAAUAAGCACCGGCUAACUCUGUGCCAGCA
rnacentral:rRNA from 1 species